AGGAAGCAGAGUGUCUCUGGUUCGAAUAGCCAUUUUCCUGCCAAGAUCUCCAGCAGCACUCUGGUAAAGGUCCAGCUCUUUUGCAAUCUUAUCCUGGACCUCGGUAUCAGAAACAAACCUCUCAAUGCAGUCAAACAUCUGGGUCCGGAUCUUGUUCAGCACAUCUCCCUCGUUGUUGUAGAAGAACUUAGGGUUCAGGAAGAACCC
rnacentral:lncRNA from 1 species